rnacentral:rRNA from 1 species
UACGGAGGGUGCAAGCGUUAAUCGGAAUUACUGGGCGUAAAGCGUGCGCAGGCGGUUUGUUAAGUCCGCUGUGAAAUCCCCGAGCUCAACUUGGGAAUUGCAGUGGAUACUGUCGGGCUCGAGUACGGAAGAGGCGAGUGGAAUUCCUGGUGUAGCGGUGAAAUGCGUAGAUAUCGGGAGGAACACCUGUGGCGAAAGCGGCGCACUGGACCACAACUGACGCUGAGGCGCGAAAGCUAGGGGAGCAAACAGG